rnacentral:rRNA from 1 species
UACAAAGAGAAGCGACCUCGCGAGAGCAAGCGGACCUCAUAAAGUGCGUCGUAGUCCGGAUUGGAGUCUGCAACUCGACUCCAUGAAGUCGGAAUCGCUAGUAAUCGUGGAUCAGAAUGCCACGGUGAAUACGUUCCCGGGCCUU